GGUAGUAUUAGGCUAAUUGGUUAAGCCGACGGACUGUGAAUCCGUUGAUGCGAGUUCGAGCCUCGUGUAUUACCC
rnacentral:tRNA from 1 species